AUUAGGCAUGCAAGUCGAACGGUAUAAACCUUCGGGGUUUAGAGAGUGGCGAACGGGUGAGUAACACGUAGGUAAUCUACCCUCAAAACGGGGACAACCCAGGGAAACUUUGGGCUAAUACCGGAUGCGUGCAAGCAAUGUUUUGGCUGUUAAUGCUAUUCACGGAAGUGAGUAGUGUUAAUGGUUGAGAGCAUUAUUUGCAUAAAAGGUGGCAUAUGCUGCCGUUUGAGGAUGAGCCUGCGUCCUAUUAGUUAGUUGGUGAGGUAAUGGCUUACCAAGGCGAUGAUAGGUAGGCGGCCUUAACGGGUGGUCGCCCACACUGGGAUUGAGAGACGGCCCAGACUCCUACGGGAGGCAGCAGUCGAGAAUAGUCUACAAUGGACGGAAGUCUGAUAGUGCGACGCCGCGUGAACGAAGAAUCCCUUCGGGGUGUAAAGUUCUUUUAUACGUGAGCAGUGCCCUUUAUAUGAAUAGUAUAGAGGGAGGGAUUUAAGCGUAUGAAUAAGCAACGGCUAACUCCGUG
rnacentral:rRNA from 1 species